AAGCGAAGAUGUCAUGGGCGCACGGCGGAUGCCUUGGCACAGGAAGCCGAAGAAGGACGCGGUAAGCUGCGAUAAGCUGCGGGGAGGCGCAAACGGCCCUCGAUCCGCAGGUCUCCGAAUGGGGGAACCCGAGCGGGGUCAUGCCCGCUCGCCCCCGCCCGAACCCAUAGGGCGGGGAGCGGCAACCCGGGGAACUGAAACAUCUAAGUACCCGGAGGAAGAGAAAUCAACCGAGAUUGCGCGAGUAGCGGCGAGCGAAAGCGCACCAGCCCAAACCGAAGACAGCAUACGCCCUGGGGGGUUCGCUGCUUCGGGGUUGCGGGGCGCGCGAGGGGGACCCCCCAGGGUCCCCGCGGAGUCACAAAGGGAGCGGGUAGCGGAACGGCCUGGGAAGGCCGGCCGUAGCGGGUGAGAGCCCCGUACGCGAAACCCCCUCCCCUCCGCCGGCGCGUCCCCGAGUAGGCCCGGGCACGUGAAACCCGGUCCGAAGCAGGGGGGACCACCCUCCAAGGCUGAACACUCUCCUGUGACCGAUAGCGAACCAGUACCGUGAGGGAAAGGUGAAAAGCACCCCGAGAGGGGAGUGAAACAGCACCUGAAACCGUGCGCCCCCAAGCAGUCGGAGCGGCUGGAAAUGCCGUGACGGCGUGCCUUUUGUAGAAUGAGCCAGCGAGUGGCGGUAUGCGGCGAGGUUAAGCUUAGAAGCGAGCCGCAGCGAAAGCGAGCCUUUAAGAGGGCGAUGCAGUCGCAUGCCGCCGACGCGAAGCCGGGUGAGCUAUCCUUGGGCAGGCUGAAGCGGGGGUAAGACCCCGUGGAGGGCCGAACCCACUUCGGUUGAAAACGGAGGGGAUGACCCGAGGAUAGGGGUGAAAGGCCAAUCAAACCCGGAGAUAUCUCGUUCUCCCCGAAAUAGCUUUAGGGCUAGCCCGGCCCGUUCAGCCGCGGCGGUAGAGCACUGGAUUCCCUAGGGGGCUUCACCGCCUGCCGAAGGAAACCAAACUCCGAAUGCCGCGGCUCCAGAGGGCCGGAGUCAGAGCGCGUGGGCUAAGCUGCGCGCUCGAGAGGGAAACAGCCCAGACCGCCCGCCAAGGCCCCCAAGUCCGUGCCGAGUGGCAAAGGAUGUGCGCUCGCCCAGACAGCCAGGAUGUUGGCUUAGAAGCAGCCAUGCAUUCAAAGAGUGCGUAACAGCUCACUGGUCGAGUGGGAGCGCGCCGACAAUACACGGGGCUAAGCACGGCGCCGAAGCGGCGGGCCGGACGCGCAUCGCGUCCGGCGGUAGGGGAGCGUUCCCGGAGGGGCGAAGCGGCAGGGGCGACCCGCCGUGGACUUCCGGGAAGCGAGAAUGCUGGCAUGAGUAGCGAGAGACGAGCGAGAAACUCGUCCGCCGCAAGCCUAAGGUUUCCUGGGCGAGGCUAAUCCCCCCAGGGUCAGUCGGGAGCUAAGGCGAGGCCGCGAGGCGUAGCCGAUGCGCAACGGGCGGACAUUCCCGUACCGCCCGCAGCGCGCCCGAGUCCCAGCGGCGACGGAGAAGGAUACGCGGGCGUGGUUCUGGACGCCCACGUGAAAGCAUGUAGGCCGGCCGGCAGCGAAGUUCGCCGGCCGCCAAGGCCGAGACGCGAGACGAAGCCCCUAGGGCGAAGCCGCGGAUUCCAUGCUCCCUAGAAAAACCGCGGGGACGAGCGCUGCGGGCGCCCGUACCAAAACCGACACAGGUGGGCAGGUAGAGCAUACCGAGGCGAUCGGGGGAACCGUGGUCAAGGAACUCGGCAUAAUGGCCCCGUAACUUCGGAAGAAGGGGUGCCGCCGGGGGUGGAGGGACGAGCUCCCCGAGCCCCUGGCGGCCGCAGCGGAUUGGCCCAAGCGACUGUUUACCAAAAACACAGGACUCUGCCAAGCCGCAAGGCGACGUAUAGGGUCUGACGCCUGCCCGGUGCCGGAAGGUUACGCGGACGCGUCAGCCGCAAGGCGAAGCGCCGAAGCCAAGCCCCGGUAAACGGCGGCCGUAACUAUAACGGUCCUAAGGUAGCGAAAUUCCUUGUCGGGUAAGUUCCGACCUGCACGAACGGCGUAACGACUUGGGCGCUGUCUCGACCACGGUCCCGGUGAAAUUGCAUUGUUCGUGAAGAUGCGAGCUACCUGCGGAAGGACGGAAAGACCCCGUGAACCUUCACUGCAGCUUGGCAUUGGCCGUUGGCCCGGAGCGUAGAGGAUAGGCAGGAGGCUGAGAAGCCGGGGCGCCAGCCCCGGCGGAGCCGACCUUGGAAUACUGCCCUCUUCGCGCCGGCGGCCUAACCCCCGGCCGUGAUCCGGCGGGGGGACCGUGCCAGGCGGGCAGUUUGACUGGGGCGGUCGCCUCCCAAAGCGUAACGGAGGCGCGCGAAGGUCCGCUCAGGACGGUCGGCAACCGUCCCGAGAGCGCAAGAGUGCAAGCGGGCUUGACUGCGAGGCCAACAAGCCGAGCAGGUGCGAAAGCAGGUUCUAGUGAUCCGGCGGCCCAGAGUGGAAUGGCCGUCGCUCAACGGAUAAAAGGUACUCCGGGGAUAACAGGCUGAUCUUGCCCAAGAGUCCACAUCGACGGCAAGGUUUGGCACCUCGAUGUCGGCUCAUCGCAUCCUGGGGCUGGAGUCGGUCCCAAGGGUUGGGCUGUUCGCCCAUUAAAGCGGUACGCGAGCUGGGUUCAGAACGUCGUGAGACAGUUCGGUCCCUAUCCUCCGCAGGCGCAAGAGGGUUGAGGAGACCCGCCCCUAGUACGAGAGGACCGGGGCGGACGGACCUCCGGUGCGGCAGUUGUCGACCAACGGCACGGCUGCUUAGCCGCGUCCGGCGCGGAUAACCGCUGAAGGCAUCUAAGCGGGAAGCCGCCUCCAAGAUGAGCCCUCUCUUACGGUAAGGCCCCUCGUAGACCACGAGGUUGAUAGGCCGCAGCUGCAAGCCCGGCGACGGGCUCAGGCGAGCGGUACUAAUCGGCCGAGCUCUUCGCUUC
rnacentral:rRNA from 1 species